rnacentral:rRNA from 1 species
UAACGAUACGGGACUCAUCCGAGGCCCCGUAAUCGGAAUGAGUACACUUUAAAUCCUUUAACGAGGACCCAUUGGAGGGCAAGUCUGGUGCCAGCAGCCGCGGUAAUUCCAGCUCCAAUAGCGUAUAUUAAAGUUGUUGCGGUUAAAAAGCUCGUAGUUGAAUCUGUGUGCCACGCUGUCGGUUCAUCGCUCGCGAUGUUUAACUGACAUGAUUGUGGGACGUCCUACCGGUGGGCUUGCCUUUCGGGGCGGUCCAGCUAAUAUCCCAUCGCGGUGCUCUUCAUCGAGUGUCGAGGUGGGCCGGUACGUUUACUUUGAACAAAUUAGAGUGCUCAAAGCAGGCUAUGUUCGCCUGAAUAUUUUUUGCAUGGAAUAAUGGAAUAGGACCUCGGUUCUAUUUUGUUGGUUUUCGGAACCCCGAGGUAAUGAUUAAUAGGGACAGAUGGGGGCAUUCGUAUUGCGACGUUAGAGGUGAAAUUCUUGGAUCGUCGCAAGACGGACAGAAGCGAAAGCAUUUGCCAAAAAUGUUUUCAUUAAUCAAGAACGAAAGUUAGAGGUUCGAAGGCGAUCAGAUACCGCCCUAGUUCUAACCAUAAACGAUGCCAGCUAGCGAUCCGCCGAAGUUCCUCCGAUGACUCGGCGGGCAGCUUCCGGGAAACCAAAGCUUUUGGGUUCCGGGGGAAGUAUGGUUGCAAAGCUGAAACUUAAAGGAAUUGACGGAAGGGCACCACCAGGAGUGGAGCCUGCGGCUUAAUUUGACUCAACAC